CUUUCCGGCCGGACUGCCGCGCCUGUGGCCGGAAGAGCCAGCUAGACCAGAGAGUCUGUACCUGCAACCCUGGCGGCGUCCGAGCCCAAGGCGGAGUCUGGGAGACAAAGAAGUCCUCGCCGCCGGCCGCUGGAGGAUUCUGCCAGUAGUGAAGUCAGGGAUGGGCCCGAGAGAGCUUGGAAAGAGGACAAGGAAGGGAAGGAGUAGGAGUAGAAAAGCAUGACUUUGGCUGGAGAUGGGGUCUCGUUAUGUUGACCAGGCUGGUCUUGAACACCUGACCUGAAGUGAUCCUCUUGCCUCAGCCUCCCAUAGUGCUGCGAUCACAGGUCCUGCCGAGUGCCUGCGAUUGCAGGCACGCGCUGCCACGCCUGACUGGUUUUGGUGGAGACGGGGUUUCGCUGUGUUGGCCGGGCCGGUCUCCAGCCCCUAACCGCGAGUGAUCCGCCAGCCUCGGCCUCCCGAGGUGCCGGGAUUGCAGACGGAGUCUCGUUCACUCAGUGCUCAAUGGUGCCCAGGCUGGAGUGCAGUGGCGUGAUCUCGGCUCGCUACAACCUACACCUCCCAGCCGCCUGCCUUGGCCUCCCAAAGUGCCGAGAUUGCAGCCUCUGCCCAGCCGCCACCCCGUCUGGGAAGUGAGGAGUGUCUCUGCCUGGCCGCCCAUCGUCUGGGAUGUGAGGAGCCCCUCUGCCUGGCUGCCCAGUCUGGAAAGUGAGGAGCGUCUCCGCCCGGCCGCCAUCCCAUCUAGGAAGUGAGGAGUGCCUCUUCCCAGCCGCCAUCACAUCUAGGAAGUGAGGAGCGUCUCUGCCCGGCCGCCCAUCGUCUGAGAUGUGGGGAGCGCCUCUGCCCCGCCGCCCCAUCUGGGAUGUGAGGAGCGCCUCUGCCCGGCCGCGACCCCGUCUGGGAGGUGAGGAGCGUCUCUGCCCGGCCGCCCCGUCUGAGAAGUGAGGAGCCACCCCAUCUGGGAAGUGAGGAGCAUCUCCGCCCGGCAGCCACCCCGUCCGGGAGGGAGGUGGGGGGUCAGCCCCCCGCCCGGCCAGCCGCCCCGUCCGGGAGGGAGGUGGGGGGGUCAGCCCCCUGCCCGGCCAGCCGCCCCGUCCGGGAGGUGAGGGGCGCCUCUGCCCGGCCGCCCCUACUGGGAAGUGAGGAGCCCCUCUGCCCGGCCACCACCCCGUCUGGGAGGUGUGCCCAACAGCUCAUUGAGAACGGGCCAGGAUGACAAUGGCGGCUUUGUGGAAUAGAAAGGCGGGAAAGGUGGGGAAAAGAUUGAGAAAUCGGAUGGUUGCCGUGUCUCUGUAGAAAGAAGUAGACAUGGGAGACUUUUCAUUUUGUUCUGCACUAAGAAAAAUUCUUCUGCCUUGGGA
rnacentral:lncRNA from 1 species